AUUGAAAAAAUUCGUUAUAGGUAUAAAGACACCAUAAACAAGUAUAAAAAUAGAGAAAAGAUGUUAAAAUCAAGAUUGGAUUUAAUACAUAUGAACGUUUCAAAAGGCAAUACAAAUAUUUAUGUAUUGUCAUUCCCAUCAGUGUGAAGAAUUUCAGGAAAAACAUCCAAAAAGUUAUUAAUAAAAGUCAAUAAGGAAAAACAGAUAGGGUAAUAGG